CAGCCGCCGCGGGAAAACGUAGGUGGCAAGCGUUGUCCGGAAUUAUUGGGCGUAAAGGGCUCGCAGGCGGUCUCUUAAGUCUGAUGUGAAAGCCCCCGGCUCAACCGGGGAGGGUCAUUGGAAACUGGGAAACUUGAGUGCAGAAGAGGAGAGUGGAAUUCCACGUGUAGCGGUGAAAUGCGUAGAGAUGUGGAGGAACACCAGUGGCGAAGGCGACUCUCUGGUCUGUAACUGACGCUGAGGAGCGAAAGCGUGGGGAGCGAACAGGAUUAGAUACCCGAGUAGUCCCUGUCUCUUAUAC
rnacentral:rRNA from 1 species